rnacentral:lncRNA from 1 species
CUGCAACCUCCACCUCCUGGGUUCAAGUGAGUCUGCUACCUCAGCCUCCUGAGUAGUUGGGAUUACAGGUGCCCGCCACCACGCCCAGCUAAUUUUUUUAUUUUUACUAGAGAUGGGGUUUCACCAUGUUGGCCAGGAUGGUCUCAAUCUCUUGACCUCGUGGUCCACCCACCUCGGCCUCCCAAAGUGCUGGGAUUAUAGGCGUGAGCCACUGUGCCCGGCCUGAAAUUCCUUAUAGACGCAUAUCUCCCCCCACAAAAGAUGGCUUUGCAGGGCCAUUUCAAAAUAUAGCAAAGAAACAUAAUUCGGAGGCCAGGCACAGUGGCUCAUGUCUGUGUCUUUUUAGUUUUUUGUAGAGAUGGGAUCUCACUGUGUUUCCCAGGCUGGUCUCAAACUCCUGGGCACAAAUGAUCCUCCCACCUGGGCCUCCCAAAGUGCUGGAAUUAUAGGUGUGAGCCACCGUGUCUAGCCUGAGAAAGGGGAACGCUUGUGUCCUAAAGAUGGGUGUAUUAAUUUCCUGCCACUGCUGUAACAAAUUACCACAAACAUGGUAGUUUAAAACAGUGGAAAUUAUUUAUGUGUUUAAGUCCUGUCUUUUCUUAUUGUCAUGAUGGCUGUGCCACUCCCUGCUGCCUCCAUGGCCACGCUGUCCCCUCCUGUUUGCGUCCCCUCUGUGGAACCCUCUUUUUUUUUUUCAGGUGAAGUUUCACUCUGUCACCCAGGCUGGAGUGCAAUGGCGUGAUCUCCACCUCCCGGGUUCAAGCGAUUCUCAGGCCUCAGCCUCCGGAGUAGCUGGGAUUACAGGCCACCACGCCUGGCUGAUUUUUGUAGUUUUAGUAGAGACGGAGUUUCACCAUGAUGCCCAGGCUAGUUCCAAACUCCAGACCUCACGUGAUUUGCCCGUCUUGGCCUCCCAAAGUGCUGGGAUGAUAGGCGUGAGCCCCCGCACCCGGUGAGCCCCUCUUAUUAGAAAGAUGCACAGGAUCCCGGUGAACCCCUCUUAUUAGAAAGAUGCACAGGAUACUGUUCAGAGCCCACCUGGAUGAUCUCCUCUCAGCAUCCUUCACUUUUUCACAUCAUUGGCUACAUGAGACCCAAAGGCUCCGGGAAUUAGGACACGGACAUAUCUGUGGGGAGCCACCAUUGAGCACGCCACCGUGGGGAGGGGACAAGCAUGUACAGACACCCUGGAAGAUAAUUCAGCCACACUUAGUGAAAUUAGGGGUACUCGUGUCCCCUCCUGGACAGACUGUGCCCAGAGAAAAUUCUCACACAGAAGAAGAUCAGGUACCAUUCGAACAGGAGUGCAUCCAGAGACGAGGUGGGAGGAAGCCACAGAUGUUCACUCAGGGGUUCACUCAGCACCAUCACUCGAUUCCCAAAGCACGGUGCUGAGAGGAAGAUGCCCCCGAACAAGAAUCCUUGCCUCAGGCUCUGCUCCGGGGGAGCUGAUGGGAGACCCAGACCUAGAGCAAACCCUGGGAAAAGUGCCCAGCUCACGCUGCAUUCGAGUUCUGCCAGGGAGCACAGCAAUGAAGGGUGUGAUGGCCCCAAGUGGAUUUCACAGCACUGGGGAAUCCGAGAGGUUCCGUCCAAUCGCCGGAUCCUGGCCCAAGGAGCACGGGCCCUGGUUCUUUCCUCCAGGUCCCGAGGCCAGCAGGGUUUCUCCUUCGAUGGUCCUUCUGUCUGUCCCCCAGGGCUCCCUCCUCCUCCCCCAGCUCCGCACAGCAGGCUGCCCCAGCUCCCUGCCCUCUUCACCGGGUCACCCCCCGCACCCGUCCCCCGGGGUGGGAGGACUACUGGACGGCCAGCGGCCAAACCUACGCAUGUGACCUACAGCGUAUUUCACCACGUCAGGUGAAACCUGAGAACCGCGGGGGCAAAGGUAGAACUUUUUUCUUUUUUCUUUUUUUUUUCCUUUCAUGUCUAGUCCUGCAGAGAUAACUUUUAUUUUCUAAGUGAAAUAAUUUUUCCCUCUCAAGCUCUAAGUCUGUUUGAUUCAGUCAAUUGAAUCCAGACAUUUUCAGUCAACGGCCAGCAAGGUUCCGGCUGGUUCGUUCAUUCAUUCAUUCAUUCAUUCAUUGAUUCAUUCAUUCAUUGCACGGAUAACUCACUAAGCACCCGCCACAGGUCAGGCACUGCUCCAGACACCAAGAAUACGGCAGUGAACGCACAGGCAAAUGUCCCUGCUCUCCUGGAUCCGCAAGAGGGCACGACCCAGGGAACAGGUUUCAGAGCCAAAUUACCCCAGCUUCCAAAAGGUUGAGAAAUGCUGUGUAGCUAAUGCCCCCCUGAAACGCCUGCACCUGUAUACAGGUGCAGUGAACAUGCCUGUGUACACCCGCUCCAGCGCACACACACUUACAUAAGCGGGUGUAAAACGUGAGCGAUUUCUGUAGCCCUGAAAGCCCGUCUAAGAAGCUGAAGUUUGUUUAAAAAAAAAAAAAAUUUUAACAGUGCCAGGGUCGCG